CUCAAUCUCGCAGGCUGGAAUGCUGUGAUGGGAUCAUAGCUCACUGGAGCCUUGAACCGUUGGGUUCAUACUUGAGGGCUGGGGGGCUGAGCCCCCCUCAGCUGGGGGGAGCUGAGGUAGGACUACAGAGAUGGGGUUGCGCCAUGUUGCUAGGCUGCUCUUGGCCUGAAGGGUCCUCCCGCCUCGGCGGCGCCAGACAUAGUUUUCUAUUUUUGACCAACAUAAACACUGUGCUGGGUCUGAAUUUUUCAGCUACCCUUCUUCGGCUGGCAACACACAGGACCUGGCGGGGAGGUCGCUCUUACCAGUCCCCACUCUGACGAGAAGACUGCCCAGCUCCAGGCACCGUAGGGCCCCAGUGACGUAGCCGAACACCCACGCCUCUGACGUCGCCAGAGGCCCACCUCUAUGGUGUCGGCGAAGGCGCGCCAUUGUGACGUCACGGAAGGCGCGCUCUUGUGACGCCACGGAAGGCGCGCUCUUGCGGCGUCACGGAAGGCGCGCUCUUGUGAGGUCGCAGGGGACCGCCACUCACGCGGAGCCAAUCGGAACUCGCGGCGGGGCUGCUGGGUCUUCCAGGAGCGCGCUUGAGCGGACGCUGCCUACCGGUGGCCGGGCGGGAUGUAACCCGCUGCUGAGCUGGCAGCUCUGUGUCGCUAGGCUUCGGCCCGGCCGCCGCCGCACAUAAGCUGCGAGGAGGAGCUUUACGACUUCCCGGUCUUCGGGGCCGGGCGCAGCAAGGGCCAGACUCUGCGCUAGCAGGCGCUGCGCGCCAACCGGCCGGCACCUGUCGCAGAAGGUGCAACCGAUCGCACUGUCGCGCCGAAGCUCCUCAAUGGCCAGCGCCAGCUGCAGCCCCGGCCGCCCACUCGCCUCACCUGAGCCUGGGUACGUGCGCCCCACAACACCUCCCCCAGGCAGGGCCCGGGGACCCCCGGGAGCGUCCCCGGCUACCUGGCGCCGCUCAUCCUGGGUAGGGUUGGCCCCCUCUGAGGCUGCCCGGCAUGAGGGAGCUGCACCCCUGAGCUUGACCUCUGACGGCCCUUUGUAAUAGCAUUAAGUCUUUGAAACUUUGUAGCGGGGUAGAAGGGGCUAGGAAACGAAGAAAACAUCUUUUUAAAAAUAUAAGCGGUCGGCUGGGCGAGGUGGCCCACGCCUGUAAUCCCAG
rnacentral:lncRNA from 1 species